GACGGAGGGGGCUAGCGUUGUUCGGAAUUACUGGGCGUAAAGAGUGCGUAGGCGGUUUAGUAAGUUGGAAGUGAAAGCCCGAGGCUUAACCUCGGAACUGCUUUCAAAACUACUAAUCUAGAGUGUAGUAGGGGAUGAUGGAAUUCCUAGUGUAGAGGUGAAAUUCUUAGAUAUUAGGAGGAACACCGGUGGCGAAGGCGGCCAUCUGGGCUACAACUGACGCUGAUGCACGAAAGCGUGGGGAGCAAACAGG
rnacentral:rRNA from 1 species